GUCCUUAUGAAAAUAAAAUAUAAGGUCAAGCCUGCCCAAUGUGGAAUUAAUGGCCGCGGUAUUUUGACUGUGCAAAGGUAGCAUAAUAAAUAGGCUAUUAAUUGUAGUCUGGAAUGAAUGGUUUCAUGAGAUAAUAGCUGUCUUUAAUUUAUUUAAUUGAAUUUUAAUUAUUAGUAAAAAUGCUAAUAUGAGAUGAAAAGACGAGAAGACCCUAUUAAGUUUUAUAUUUAAAAUUUAAGUUUUUAGAAAAAUUAAGAUGGAUAGUAUUUGGCUGGGGCGGUUCAUAUUAAUAUAAACAUUUGAUUGACCCAUUAAUAAUGAUAAUUAGAAAAAAUUACUAUAGGGAUAACAGCGUAAUACUAUUGGAGAGUUCAUAUUGAUAAUAGAGUUUGCGACCUCGAUGUUGGAUCAAGAUAUCUUUUUGGUGCAGGAGUUAAAAAAGAAGGUCUGUUCGACCUUUAAAAUCUUACG
rnacentral:rRNA from 1 species